rnacentral:rRNA from 1 species
UACGUAGGGUGCGAGCGUUGUCCGGAAUUAUUGGGCGUAAAGGGCUCGUAGGCGGUCUGUUGCGUCGGGAGUGAAAACUCAGGGCUUAACCCUGAGCCUGCUUCCGAUACGGGCAGACUAGAGUGCGGUAGGGGAGACUGGAAUUCCUGGUGUAGCGGUGAAAUGCGCAGAUAUCAGGAGGAACACCGGUGGCGAAGGCGGGUCUCUGGGCCGUAACUGACGCUGAGGAGCGAAAGCGUGGGGAGCAAACAGG